CCUAGCUAGCCUGCCUCCCUCGGUGGAUCCUACCCUGUCGCCCACGACCGAGACCAACCUGCUGCAGUCGUAGACGUGUGCUUCAACUUCAGAAAUCAGAACCAAGGCUUAAUUAGGUGAGCUCACAUGGCCAUGUUCCAUCACAUUUCUAAUCAGAUUUCAUUAGUUAAUUAAGGGAAGUGAACAUACUGGCAGAUCUAAAAAUGGGCUAACUUGCGAGCAUGUGCAGAGUACUUCGAUCUGAAAUAUGCUUGACAUAAUUUUGUGGAAUUUUUUGCUUUAACCUUGUCUAAUACAGAAUCAGAAGAUGGAAUGGAUUUGCAAUUAUCUCAUGAAUCAAUUGAUGAUUUCUAAUAGUUUUCUUCUGUCUGAGGUGACAUUUUCCUCCAUGUAUUUUUAAAUCUGGACAUUGAUGAUUUUCUGGUUGUUUCCCUUUGUGUUGAACUUACAAUUGUAUCUCUGGUGGUUAUAUUUAUCUCUAGUUAUUUCAUGACUUUAUGCACAUAUAUUCUGCUGCUAUACUUAUGCCAACUCAGAAAUGUGUAAUUUUAGUUGUGUGUUUUUGUGGACCUUACUAAUGCAUCUGAAUUCAGUUUUACAGGAUGACGAGUGGCUUCCACCCCCCAAAUUCUUAAGAGGUUCUGCAGAACUUCCACCGCCUAUUGCAAAUGAGUCUGAACGUCCAUUGCUUAGACCUGAUGGGGAGACGUGAGUUAUCAUUUAAUCCACGCAUUACUGUUUGGCACACCUUGGGUGUUUGACAUAUUACACUAUGACAUACCUUGGGGUGUGUUUAACUUAUAUCUAUUUUCUUGUGCUAGGCACUGGUUAGAAUUAUAUACAUUUAGAAAAAAAUGUGAGAAAGCCAAAUGGUGUGCUAACAAUUCUGUCCAGACUACAGUGGAUGGUAGCCUUGGUGGUUUGUAUAAGUUUCUUAUGGUGUGUAAAGCCAUUUGAUAUAGUUUUCUAAUUUGUAUCAAAAAUUUCAGACCAUCGCAUCCCUUCAAGGAGUUCAAGGGCCUGAGAUUCCAUGUAUUGUUAUACCUCCACCUCCAGCUUUUUCAACAUUAACCACUUCGUCUCCGAUCUUUUCUCCAGAAAUGGUAGGUACAUAUUUCUUUCGAAGGUAAUAACACCAGAUCGGCCAAAUAAGAAAAGAAAAGGAAUAGGUUGCACUAUAGGGUUUAACAUCUAUCUUGUUGCUGAAUCAGCUAAGGAUUUUUGUAGUCAUUAUUUAUAAUUUGAUAUUUCGAGAUUCUAAAAAAGACAUUUCUGCAGCCCUCCAUAGGUGAAUCAACUAAUGGUGCUAAAAAUAUGAAUAAUACAUCGCGUGGAGCAGAAGAUGGAAUGUUUGCUGGCUUGUUUGACGCAAACUGGAAGUUUCUCUCCUCCUGGUGACGAACUACCUCCUUUUUGAGAUGUCUCUUGCGGUGGUGAAGGAAGUGGCAUAAACUUUUUGCGUCGAUUAAUUGGAAGCCAAUGCUUGUUACGGAUAUGCAUACUUAAUUAAGUGCAACAUGACACUUCUCUUUUUGGCCAUGCACAUGCUGAUGGUUGUGAUCUGAUCAGUGACUUACAUGAUUCAUAGGUGUGUGACAAUCCUAGUUAGAUGACACUUUGUGAAGUGUAGGGUACUUUUGUAAGCUCCUGGUUGUUGUCAUGUAAAAUGAUGAUGGUUAAUAUAUGUGUGUGCUUGUGUGUGCGCGCGUCACUUUUGUGUCUUCAACUUUCUAGAGUGAUUAUGUACAACUUAUACAUUUGUGCAAAUACAAUGAACGUAUGUGUUUUUACCAUACUAUUUAUAAGUAAUGAUUCCCUAGGGUUCCCAAAC
rnacentral:lncRNA from 1 species